rnacentral:tRNA from 1 species
UAGCUAAGAGGUUAGAGCAUUGCAUUUGUAAUGCGAUGGUCAUCAGUGCGAUUCCGAU